AAAAACUGCCAUGCGACGCUGUUCAUUAGCCUUAAUUCUAUUGCUAGCUCUUUGGGCCUGUCACCAGGUGGACGCAGGCAGCGACUUCACGGCCAGAGGUGAUGUGCCGAAAAGGAAUUCAUGUCCACUACUGGACAGUAAACUGCCGAGUCAGACAGAGAAGGCUGCGGCUGAAUGGGGUUUGGAACAUUUGAUUAAAUAUCUCUCAUUUGGAAUGAGUCUUUGGCAAUUUUUAGUUAAAAUGUUUUUCAUAUUAAUUAAUAAGGCAACACAUUUUGUCUAGAAUUAUCCUUAACUGCUUGCAAUACUUUAAUCGAAAGUAAAUAUUUUUGUAUAAACUGUCGUUUGACUUUUCUCUGGUUUUGUAUAUGUUAUUCAUAUCAAAUUGCCAAUAUAAAUGUA